AGAGGGUGAGACUCCCGUCCGCCUGGUAGAGUGAGCCAUUUGUCAACGAGGUCGAGUUGUUUGGGAUUGCAGCUCUAAUCUGGUGGUAAAUUCCAUCUAAAGCUAAAUAUUGGUGGGAGACCGAUAGCGUACAAGUACCGUGAGGGGAAGAUGCAAAGAACUUUGAAAAGAGAGUUAAAGAGUACCUGAAAUUGCUGAAACGGAAGCGAAGGAAACCAGUGUUUGUUUAGUUCUAUAUUUCCCUGGCCACUUGUGGUUUGGGCGCUGUGGGGCUUGGCGUGGGUUUACUUUGGUUGAUCCCUUUGGAAGAGGCGCAGUCAGACGUUGAUGUCU
rnacentral:rRNA from 1 species